CCCCUAGAUGUUCUGGGCCGCACGCGCGCUACACUGAACAGUUCAACAAGUCUUAACCUUGGCCGAUAGGUCUGGGUAAUCUUUGAACGCUGUUCGUGAUUGGGAUAGACCUUUGCAAUUAUGGGUCUUCAACGAGGAAUUCCUAGUAAACGCAAGUCAUCAGCUUGCAUUGAUUACGUCCCUGCCCUUUGUACACACCGCCCGUCGCACCUACCGAUUGAAUGGUCCGGUGAAACCUCGGGACGGCGGCUUGGUCGCUUGCGUCCGACUGCUGAAACUUGAUUAAACCAUAUCAUUUAGAGGAAGGUGUAGUCGUAACA
rnacentral:rRNA from 1 species